rnacentral:rRNA from 1 species
GAUGAACGCUGGCGGCGUGCCUAAUACAUGCAAGUCGAGCGAACAGACGAGGAGCUUGCUCCUCUGACGUUAGCGGCGGACGGGUGAGUAACACGUGGAUAACCUACCUAUAAGACUGGGAUAACUUCGGGAAACCGGAGCUAAUACCGGAUAAUAUAUUGAACCGCAUGGUUCAAUAGUGAAAGACGGUUUUGCUGUCACUUAUAGAUGGAUCCGCGCCACAUUAGCUAGUUGGUAAGGUAACGGCUUACCAAGGCAACGAUGCGUAGCCGACCUGAGAGGGUGAUCGGCCACACUGGAACUGAGACACGGUCCAGACUCCUAAGGGAGGCAGCAGUAGGGAAUCUUCCGCAAUGGGCGAAAGCCUGACGGAGCAACGCCGCGUGAGUGAUGAAGGUAUUCGGAUCGUAAAACUCUGUUAUUAGGGAAGAACAAAUGUGUAAGUAACUAUGCACGUCUUGACGGUACCUAAUCAGAAAGCCACGGCUAACUACGUG